rnacentral:rRNA from 1 species
UACGUAGGUGGCAAGCGUUGUCCGGAUUUAUUGGGCGUAAAGAGCGUGUAGGCGGCCAGGUAGGUCUGGUGUGAAAACUCGAGGCUUAACCUCGAGAUGUCAUCGGAAACCAUCUGGCUAGAGUCCGGAAGAGGAGAGUGGAAUUCCUGGUGUAGCGGUGAAAUGCGCAGAUAUCAGGAGGAACACCGAUGGCGAAGGCAGCUCGCUGGGACGGUACUGACGCUGAGGCGCGAAAGCGUGGGGAGCGAACAGG